rnacentral:lncRNA from 1 species
AAAAUGUUGUGCAGUUUGGUUACAACCUAAACACGUGUGGCAACCCUCGAGGUCCACCUUCUUCCCAACCUUUAUGAGGCUUGGGGCGUGGGUCAGAGACUAAUUACCUCCAAGUCCUACCAAGGUUGUGACCAUCCCCAUUUGGAAAAAGCAGCAAUAUCGAAAAUGCCAAAAAAGUGAAAAAUGAAAGAAAAGAAAAAAAAAGAAGAAGAAAAGCAAGUUGUAUAUAGUAGAUUACAGCUAGUAGUAUAGUCAAGCAAGCAAAUUAGAUGAAGGUGCUAGCAUUGCUUGAGUGUUGUGAUUGGCAUGAAAAAUUGUUGUAA